rnacentral:rRNA from 1 species
GUGCCAGCAGCCGCGGUAAUACAGAGGUCCCAAGCGUUGUUCGGAUUUACUGGGCGUAAAGGGAGCGUAGGUGGCAGACUAAGUCUGAUGUGAAAGCUCUGAGCUUAACUCAGAAAUGGCAUUAGAUACUAGUUUGCUUGAGGAUUGGAGGGGAGACUGGAAUUCUCGGUGUAGCAGUGAAAUGCGUAGAUAUCGAGAGGAACACCAGUGGCGAAGGCGAGUCUCUGGACAAUUCCUGACACUGAUGCUCGAAAGCUAGGGGAGCAAACGGGAUUAGAUACCCCCGUAGUCC